UUAAGCGACUAAGCGUACACGGUGGAUGCCCUGGCAGUCAGAGGCGAUGAAGGACGUGCUAAUCUGCGAAAAGCGUCGGUAAGGUGAUAUGAACCGUUACAGCCGGCGAUGUCCGAAUGGGGAAACCCAGUGCAAUUCGUUGCACUAUCGUUAACUGAAUACAUAGGUUAACGAGGCGAACCGGGGGAACUGAAACAUCUAAGUACCCCGAGGAAAAGAAAUCAACCGAGAUUCCCCCAGUAGCGGCGAGCGAACGGGGAGCAGCCCAGAGUCUGAAUCAGCUUGUGUGUUAGUGGAACGGUCUGGAAAGUCCGACGGUACAGGGUGAUAGUCCCGUACACCAAAAUGCACAGGUUGUGAACUCGAAGAGUAGGGCGGGACACGUGGUAUCCUGUCUGAAUAUGGGGGGACCAUCCUCCAAGGCUAAAUACUCCUGACUGACCGAUAGUGAACCAGUACCGUGAGGGAAAGGCGAAAAGAACCCCGGCGAGGGGAGUGAAAAAGAACCUGAAACCGUGUACGUACAAGCAGUGGGAGCACCUUCGGGUGUGACUGCGUACCUUUUGUAUAAUGGGUCAGCGACUUAUAUUCUGUAGCAAGGUUAACCGUAUAGGGGAGCCGCAGGGAAACCGAGUCUUAACUGGGCGUUAAGUUGCAGGGUAUAGACCCGAAACCCGGUGAUCUAGCCAUGGGCAGGUUGAAGGUUGGGUAACACUAACUGGAGGACCGAACCGACUAAUGUUGAAAAAUUAGCGGAUGACUUGUGGCUGGGGGUGAAAGGCCAAUCAAACCGGGAGAUAGCUGGUUCUCCCCGAAAGCUAUUUAGGUAGCGCCUCGUGAAUUCAUCUUCGGGGGUAGAGCACUGUUUCGGCUAGGGGGUCAUCCCGACUUACCAACCCGAUGCAAACUACGAAUACCGAAGAAUGUUAUCACGGGAGACACACGGCGGGUGCUAACGUCCGUCGUGAAGAGGGAAACAACCCAGACCGCCAGCUAAGGUCCCAAAGUCACAGUUAAGUGGGAAACGAUGUGGGAAGGCACAGACAGCCAGGAUGUUGGCUUAGAAGCAGCCAUCAUUUAAAGAAAGCGUAAUAGCUCACUGGUCGAGUCGGCCUGCGCGGAAGAUGUAACGGGGCUAAACUGUGCACCGAAGCUGCGGCAGCGACACUAUGUGUUGUUGGGUAGGGGAGCGUUCUGUAAGCCUGCGAAGGUGGCCUGUGAGGGUUGCUGGAGGUAUCAGAAGUGCGAAUGCUGACAUAAGUAACGAUAAUGCGGGUGAAAAGCCCGCACGCCGGAAGACCAAGGGUUCCUGUCCAACGUUAAUCGGGGCAGGGUGAGUCGACCCCUAAGGCGAGGCCGAAAGGCGUAGUCGAUGGGAAACAGGUUAAUAUUCCUGUACUUGGUGUUACUGCGAAGGGGGGACGGAGAAGGCUAUGUUAGCCGGGCGACGGUUGUCCCGGUUUAAGCAUGUAGGCGGAGGUUCCAGGUAAAUCCGGUACCUUUUUAACGCUGAGGUGUGAUGACGAGGCACUACGGUGCUGAAGUAACAAAUGCCCUGCUUCCAGGAAAAGCCUCUAAGCAUCAGGUAACAUUAAAUCGUACCCCAAACCGACACAGGUGGUCAGGUAGAGAAUACCAAGGCGCUUGAGAGAACUCGGGUGAAGGAACUAGGCAAAAUGGUGCCGUAACUUCGGGAGAAGGCACGCUGAUAUGUAGGUGAAGCCCCUGCGGGUGGAGCUGAAAUCAGUCGAAGAUACCAGCUGGCUGCAACUGUUUAUUAAAAACACAGCACUGUGCAAACACGAAAGUGGACGUAUACGGUGUGACGCCUGCCCGGUGCCGGAAGGUUAAUUGAUGGGGUUAUCCGUAAGGAGAAGCUCUUGAUCGAAGCCCCGGUAAACGGCGGCCGUAACUAUAACGGUCCUAAGGUAGCGAAAUUCCUUGUCGGGUAAGUUCCGACCUGCACGAAUGGCGUAAUGAUGGCCAGGCUGUCUCCACCCGAGACUCAGUGAAAUUGAACUCGCUGUGAAGAUGCAGUGUACCCGCGGCAAGACGGAAAGACCCCGUGAACCUUUACUAUAGCUUGACACUGAACAUUGAGCCUUGAUGUGUAGGAUAGGUGGGAGGCUUUGAAGCGUGGACGCCAGUCUGCGUGGAGCCAACCUUGAAAUACCACCCUUUAAUGUUUGAUGUUCUAACGUUGGCCCCUUAUCGGGGUUGCGGACAGUGUCUGGUGGGUAGUUUGACUGGGGCGGUCUCCUCCCAAAGAGUAACGGAGGAGCACGAAGGUUAGCUAAUCCUGGUCGGACAUCAGGAGGUUAGUGCAAUGGCAUAAGCUAGCUUGACUGCGAGCGUGACGGCGCGAGCAGGUGCGAAAGCAGGUCAUAGUGAUCCGGUGGUUCUGAAUGGAAGGGCCAUCGCUCAACGGAUAAAAGGUACUCCGGGGAUAACAGGCUGAUACCGCCCAAGAGUUCAUAUCGACGGCGGUGUUUGGCACCUCGAUGUCGGCUCAUCACAUCCUGGGGCUGAAGUAGGUCCCAAGGGUAUGGCUGUUCGCCAUUUAAAGUGGUACGCGAGCUGGGUUUAGAACGUCGUGAGACAGUUCGGUCCCUAUCUGCCGUGGGCGCUGGAGAAUUGAGGGGGGCUGCUCCUAGUACGAGAGGACCGGAGUGGACGCAUCACUGGUGUUCGGGUUGUCAUGCCAAUGGCAUUGCCCGGUAGCUAAAUGCGGAAGAGAUAAGUGCUGAAAGCAUCUAAGCACGAAACUUGCCCCGAGAUGAGUUCUCCCUGAGACUUUAAGUCUCCUGAAGGAACGUUAAAGACGAUGACGUUGAUAGGUCGGGUGUGUAAGCGUAGCGAUACGUUGAGCUAACCGAUACUAAUGAACCGUGAGGCUUAACCUU
rnacentral:rRNA from 1 species